AACGCGAAGAACCUUACCAGCUCUUGACAUCCCAAGACCGCUGCAGAGAUGCAGUUUCCCCUUCGGGGGCUUGGAGACAGGUGCUGCAUGGCUGUCGUCAGCUCGUGUCGUGAGAUGUUGGGUUAAAUCCCGCACCGAGCGCAACCCUCCUAUCCAGUGUCCAGCAUUCAGUUGGGCGCUCUAGGGGGACAGCCGGCGAUAACAAGAGAAGAGGGUGGGGAGGACGUCAAGUCGUCAUGGCCCUUACGGGGUGGGCGACACCCCUGCUAAAACGACGGUGACAGCGGGCAGCUAGUUCGCGAGGAGAAGCCAAUCCCAAAAACCGGUCUCAGUUCGGAUUGCAGUCUGCAACUCGAGUCCAUGAAGUGUGGAAUCGCUAGUAAUCGCGUAUCAGCAU
rnacentral:rRNA from 1 species